GUGGGGAAUUUUGGACAAUGGGCGCAAGCCUGAUCCAGCAAUGCCGCGUGCAGGAAGAAGGCCUUCGGGUUGUAAACUGCUUUUGUACGGAACGAAACGGUCCUGGCUAAUACCCGGGGCUAAUGACGGUACCGUAAGAAUAAGCACCGGCUAACUACGUGCCAGCAGCCGCGGUAAUACGUAGGGUGCGAGCGUUAAUCGGAAUUACUGGGCGUAAAGCGUGCGCAGGCGGUGCUGUAAGACAGGCGUGAAAUCCCCGGGCGCAACCUGGGAAUUGCGCUUGUGACUGCAGUGCUGGAGUACGGCAGAGGGGGAUGGAAUUCCGCGUGUAGCAGUGAAAUGCGUAGAUAUGCGGAGGAACACCGAUGGCGAAGGCAGUCCCCUGGGCCUGUACUGACGCUCAUGCACGAAAGCGUGGGGAGCAAACAGGAUUAGAAACCCGUGUAGUCC
rnacentral:rRNA from 1 species